ensembl:miRNA
UGAAUAGUACGUAUGGCCUGUUAGCUCAGCUGGUCAGAGCGUGGUGCUAAUAACGCCAAGGUCAUGGGUUCAAUCCCCAUGCAGGCCA